rnacentral:rRNA from 1 species
CCUUAUACAUGCAAGUCGAACGGAAAGGCCCUUCGGGGUACUCAAGUGGCGGACGGGUGAGUAACACGUAGGAAUCUACCUUAGAGUGGGGGACAACCAAGAGAAAUCUUGGCUAAUACCCCAUAUGCCGCAAGGUGAAAGGUUUUUCGCUCUAAGAGGAGCCUGCGUUGGAUUAGCUAGUUGGUGGGGUAAAGGCCUACCAAGGCUACGAUCUAUAGCUGGUCUGAGAGGAUGAUCAGCCACAAUGGGACUGAGAUACGGCCCAUACUCCUACGGGAGGCAGCAGUAGGGAAUCUUGCGCAAUGGACGAAAGUCUGACGCAGCAAUACCGUGUGCGGGAAGACGCUCUGUGGAGUGUAAACCGCUGUCAGA